UACGUAGGUGGCAAGCGUUGUCCGGAUUUACUGGGCGUAAAGAGCGCGCAGGCGGUCGUUCAAGUCGCGUGUGAAAGCCCCCGGCUCAACUGGGGAGGGUCACGCGAUACUGAUCGACUCGAAGGCAGGAGAGGGAAGUGGAAUUCCCGGUGUAGUGGUGAAAUGCGUAGAGAUCCGGAGGAAGACCGGUGGCGAAGGCGGUCUGCUGGGCAGUUUCUGACACUGAUGCGCGACAGCGUGGGGAGCAAACAGG
rnacentral:rRNA from 1 species